rnacentral:rRNA from 1 species
UACGUAGGGUGCGAGCGUUAAUCGGAAUUACUGGGCGUAAAGCGUGCGCAGGCGGCUUACUAAGACAGGUGUGAAAGCCCCGAGCUUAACUUGGGAAUGGCGCUUGUGACUGGUAGGCUGGAGUGUGGCAGAGGAAGGUGGAAUUCCACGUGUAGCGGUGAAAUGCGUAGAGAUGUGGAGGAACACCGAUGGCGAAGGCAGCCUUCUGGGCCAACACUGACGCUCAUGCACGAAAGCGUGGGGAGCAAACAGG